rnacentral:lncRNA from 1 species
AUGCUCAGGACAGCUGGAGCUAGGACAGCCAGGGCUAGGACGGCAGCUGGGGGCCAGGAACUCAAUCCUGGUCUCCUACGUGGGUGGCAGGAGCCCAGUUUCUUGAGCCACUACUGCUCCCUCCCAGGACGUGCCCGAGCAGGAAGCAGCAGUCGCGAGUGGAGCUGGGUAGGGAACCGAGGUCCUCUGGUGUGGGACUCAGGUGUCUUAACCAGAGUCCUGACCGCUGGGCUGAAUGCCUCCCCACCCUCUCCCCUUCUGGCUCUUAUUCUUCAUGGACACUCAUUGUCCUCCGGAUUCCAUGCACCUGCUGCACACACCACCCCUGCGCGGUGGCAGGUCUGGCUCACGCACACUGUGCUGUAUCCGUUCAUUUAUUGCCUGGUGCACACCCGUAUCCCGCCGCCUCCAGCCUACCCGGCAGCUCCUCCUCUUGCCUCUGACCCUGCUGGGCCCCAGGGUUUGUCAACAACAGGCUCUGACUCACCCGGUGAUGCCAGGGCUCUUCCCAGGCACACUGCCUGGGGCUGGCCUCACCUGCACUCGGCCCCUGGCCUUGGCCGCAGGCCCUCCAGCCCACUCUGUCCUCCUACUCACCUCGAAUUUGGCAGGAGGCGUGAAGGCCUGUGCCAGGGCGAAUUGGCAGAGAGACACAGACAGGGGAAUCGGACGUUUUUGCAACGACAACAAAAACGUAAGCGAACAGAGAGCAGCUUAUUGAGCGUUGUCUUUCAGAGCCUUCUCCCGGGGGAGACACUGGGUCCAGCUCUGCUCUGCUGGCCCUGCAGCUUCUGGAAUCUUCUAUGGGAGUUCCCAGGAAGCUACAAGUCCAUGGCGUCCAGGCCCAGCCACACCUGGAGUCACAUAGGGAGCUUUCAGAAAUCCUGUACUGGAGUCCCACCCGAGACUCGGAGGGGUGGGCUCCUGCCGUACCCUGCAGAAGCCCCCUGGGAAACCCUGACAUGCUCCAAGGUUGAGCCUCUCCUGCUCCCCGCCCCCCAUUCCUGGGCACUGUCUGGGGACUCCAGGAGCAUGCUAUGGACGGCCAGGGGACCCUGCAGCCCCGGUGGAGUCACCCGUCCUUGGAGGUUGAGUACUUAG